rnacentral:rRNA from 1 species
UAGAGGAAGUAAAAGUCGUAACAAGGUCUCCGUUGGUGAACCAGCGGAGGGAUCAUUACUGAGUUUACGCUCUAUAACCCUUUGUGAACAUACCUAUAACUGUUGCUUCGGCGGGUAGGGUCUCCGCGACCCUCCCGGCCUCCCGCCUCCGGGCGGGUCGGCGCCCGCCGGAGGAUAACCAAACUCUGAUUUAACGACGUUUCUUCUGAGUGGUACAAGCAAAUAAUCAAAACUUUUAACAACGGAUCUCUUGGUUCUGGCAUCGAUGAAGAACGCAGCGAAAUGCGAUAAGUAAUGUGAAUUGCAGAAUUCAGUGAAUCAUCGAAUCUUUGAACGCACAUUGCGCCCGCCAGCAUUCUGGCGGGCAUGCCUGUUCGAGCGUCAUUUCAACCCUCAAGCUCUGCUUGGUGUUGGGGCCCUACAGCUGAUGUAGGCCCUCAAAGGUAGUGGCGGACCCUCCCGGAGCCUCCUUUGCGUAGUAACUUUACGUCUCGCACUGGGAUCCGGAGGGACUCUUGCCGUAAAACCCCCCAAUUUUCCAAAGGUUGACCUCGGAUCAGGUAGGAAUACCCGCUGAACUUAAGCAUAUCAAUAAGCGGAGGAA